CCUACGGUAGGCAGCAGUGGGGAAUAUUGGGCAAUGGGCGCAAGCCUGACCCAGCAACGCCGCGUGAAGGAAGAAGGCUUUCGGGUUGUACACUUCUUUUCUGAGGGACGAAGAAAGUGACGGUACCUCAUGAAUAAGCCACGGCUAACUACGUGCCAGCAGCCGCGGUAAUCCGUAGGUGGCAAGCGUUAUCCGGAUUUAUUGGGUGGAAAGGGCGUGUAGGCGGGAAAGCAAGUCAGAUGUGAAAGCUCAGGGCUCAACCCUGAGCCUGCAUUUGAAACUGUUUUUCUUGAGUGCUGGAGAGGCAAGCGGAAUUCCGUGUGUAGCGGUGAAAUGCGUAGAUAUACGGAGGAACACCAGUGGCGAAGGCGGAUUGCUGGACAGUAACUGACGCUGAGGCGCGAAAGCGUGGGGAGCAAACAGGAUUAGAUACCCGGGUAGUC
rnacentral:rRNA from 1 species